rnacentral:ncRNA from 1 species
CCCCGACUUUUGGGAGGGGCGCAUUUAUUAGAUAAAAGGCUGACGUGGGCUCUGCUCGCUGAUCCGAUGAUUCAUGAUAACUCGACGGAUCGCAUGGCCUUUGUGACGGCGACGCAUCAUUCAAAUUUCUGCCCUAUCAACUUUCGAUGGUAGGAUAGGGGCCUACCAUGGUGGUGACGGGUGACGGAGAAUUAGGGUUCGAUUCCGGAGAGGGAGCCUGAGAAACGGCUACCACAUCCAAGGAAGGCAG